UAAAUUUCUUUCAUUUUUCAUAACUAAGCUAACGAAAUAUAUGAAUUUAUAUAUGAAUUUAUAUAUGAAUUUUUCUUACGCAGGACUAGGCGGCCGAUGAUUUCCAGGACUUUCGAGAAUGAGAGGAUCGUGUUCAGGAUAUCUCGAAGUUGGCAUCACAAUUGGUUGGCUGGUGGUACACGAAUGAGUAGAAAAAAGGAAGAAGUGAUAAAAUAUAAAAAUAGCAGAGUUACUCGCCAGAAGUCCAGCACGAUCGGCGACACUAUCCUUGUCUACUCCAGUGACAUAUAUUCCAAGGCCAUAUUCGAGACCACCUCUGAUCAUAAGACCAAGAGAUUGGCCUGGUUCGAUGCAUAGUUCGACCUUUCGCGUUCGUGGUCCAUAUCGGGAAUCUCGGGAGGAAUAAAAAGGUGGCGGAGAAGCUGGUCUUCCUUGACGGUCCAUCCAACUGCAGGAUUGUUGACGACCCGAAGAUGGCCAAACAGGAUGACCAACUCUGCAACGGGGAUCUAAUGCCGGUCCACGUACCGUCAUACUCAAAGUCCUACAGGAUUUCAGCAUCUAUUUCGAAGAAAACAUUUUGUUCUUUAUUUAUUGAAAAAAAAAAAAAAGAAAUAAAGAAAUGUCUGCAAUGAA